rnacentral:rRNA from 1 species
GGGGAUAACUACUGGAAACGGUAGCUUAAUACCGCAUGACCUCGCAAGAGCAAAGUGGGGGACCCUUCGGGCCUCACGCCAUCGGAUGUGCCCAGAUGGGAUUAGCUAGUAGGUGGGGUAAUGGCUCACCUAGGCGACGAUCCCUAGCUGGUCUGAGAGGAUGACCAGCCACACUGGAACUGAGACACGGUCCAGACUCCUACGGGAGGCAGCAGUGGGGAAUAUUGCACAAUGGGCGCAAGCCUGAUGCAGCCAUGCCGCGUGUGUGAAGAAGGCCUUAGGGUUGUAAAGCACUUUCAGCGAGGAGGAAGGCGUUGUAGUUAAUAGCUGCAGCGAUUGACGUUACUCGCAGAAGAAGCACCGGCUAACUCCGUGCCAGCAGCCGCGGUAAUACGGAGGGUGCAAGCGUUAAUCGGAAUUACUGGGCGUAAAGCGCACGCAGGCGGUUUGUUAAGUCAGAUGUGAAAUCCCCGAGCUUAACUUGGGAACUGCAUUUGAAACUGGCAAGCUAGAGUCUUGUAGAGGGGGGUAGAAUUCCAGGUGUAGCGGUGAAAUGCGUAGAGAUCUGGAGGAAUACCGGUGGCGAAGGCGGCCCCCUGGACAAAGACUGACGCUCAGGUGCGAAAGCGUGGGGAGCAAAC